GUGAGUCAUCGAAUCUUUGAACGCACCUUGCGCUCUCUGGUAUUCCGGAGAGCAUGUCUGUUUGAGUGUCAUGAACUCUUCAACCUACCGAUUUCUAGUAAAUCGGAUUAGUGUUUGGAUUUUGAACGCUUGCUGGCCUUUAUUGGCGAAGCUCGUUCGUAAAUGAUUAGCAUCUCAUAUUCGAAAAUCGGAUUGACUCAGUGUAAUAGACUAUUCGCUGAGGACGCUCUUUCGGGAGUGGCCGAGUUUUGUAAAGUAGAAGCUUCUAAUUCUAUUAGUCAACUUUAGAUUAGACCUCAGAUCAGGCAGGAUUACCCGCUGAACUUAA
rnacentral:rRNA from 1 species